UGAGUUAGUCUUUCUCUUCUUGUUAGGCUGAACAAUCUCUUCUUCUUCUUCGCAUUUAACCGGGUUAUCCUCGGUUUGAUGAUGGUGAUGGUGAUGCAUGGACGGGGCUGAUGAAGUUUCGGGGAGAACGUUUCCGUAGUUAGGAGAGGUUGUUACAGGCAACAUGUUGAAGAACUUGUCCUUCUGUUGGUUAAUCCAGUUGUAGCUCAUGUGGAUUGGUGGCUCAGCGUGGUGGUAUGACCCGUUUUGGCCAAUCAUUAGAUUUGGAUCUCGACCGGGUAGAAACGGUUUAGUGUUCCGGUCAGCGCUUGACAUUAGCUGCAAACCGAGGUUGCCUUUGAACGUAGCAGCAGCUGGUUCGUAGUAACCCCAAUUGCGAAACCCAUCGUCAUCCAUUUUCAAAGAUCUACAAAACAUGUCAAUAUAAAAAAAAGACAAUCAGAGAUUCAAAUCCAAAUUCAGACAAAACAAAAGCCAGUUCAUGUUCCAAUUAGCCAAAAUCAAAUCAUCCUACCAUUUAUUAUAUCCAAUGUUCCAGAGAUAACACAUCAGAUGUUAAAGAUAGCAAGAAAACAAAAAUUAGAGUGGAUAUAUACAUGAAAUCCAGGGAACUUUUAUAUGAUAUUCCGACAUAAGAACAUUUUCUUGUCGGAACCAACAUGCACAGCUUCUAGAUCUGGGGAGUCCAGAGCUAGAUCUACGGAAAAUGGACAUGAAUCAAGGAGAUCCACAGCCAAAAUCUAAUGAAACAUCAAGAUAUGUACAUAUAUUGGACGGAGAUAAAAGGAUUUGAAGCAAAAGCGUUGUUGGUACAGUACAGGAAAAAAAGGUCCCAUUGUAAAUAUUCAAAACUGAGAGAAAGAGAGAGAGAGGCAUGAUAUGGAAAUGGAUUAGGAAAGAGAAAACUUACAUAUGAGAUUGGGUUAACAAACGGCUCUUUAAGGGAAUUUUUGCCCUUCUGGAGAGAGAGGAGAGAGAGAGAUUGGAGGGAGGGAGGAAAGAGAAGGAAGAGAGAGGAGAGAGAAACCUGAAGGGAAAGAUAAGAUCUGAAGAAAGGGAAAGGGUUUUUAUUUUUAUUUUUUUUGAGUGGAACAGAGAGAGAACCCUAAAAUAAUUGAAAAUCAUUUUCUAAUUUUAAAAUAUACACAAUCUAAAAUAAAUAUCUUUCCAAAAGGCUUUUUUCAUUUUUCUCUCCGCGUUGUACUUGAAAUGAAGACUUUCUUUUUAUGUUUGGUCACUGUAAGAAAGCCAUUUGAGAAGAAGACAAAACAAAAAAAAUAACAAAGCCCACUUAUUGGUCUUUUUGACAUCGUGUCAAAACCAAAUUUUUUAAAAGGCAACGAGAUCGUUCGUGAAAAGAUGAGACGAGGAACAUGAGAUUAUGAAGAAAAAAUACUAAUUCUUCAUAAAACUUUCUAUUGGUAAUUUUUUUUUUCUGUAAUAACAAAUUCUGUGUUUAGCAAACCGAACGUUUUGGGAAUGUUAAGACACAAGUGUAUCCAAUGUGAAGCUCAUAUUUUAUACAUAUAUUGCAUUGCUCAUAGUCAGAGCUUGUCCCUCGCAAAUCAUAAUAAUUCCAUUCCUGUGCGUUCUCUGAACCAGAACUUCGCUGAUUCCCCCAAAGUUAUCAAAUAGAUUUAAACAGAUGCAAAUAUUGCACAACGAUCAUGACUACCUUGAAUAAGAGAUUUGACAUUUAUUACAUACAAAAAAAAAGUCCGAAGGUAUGAUCAUCUUUUACAAUCCAUAAAAUAUAUAGAAAAGGAUACACGUAAGUAAUUUUAAUUUCCGUAGCCCAAAAUAACGAGAAGAAGAGAGAGACAGAGAAGAGAUGCUUUUUCAGGAAAUAAUCAGGCAUUAACAUUGUCAAUAUAUCUCUCUUCUUUCUAACAACCCAUCUCUUUAUCUUUUCUUUGUUCUAGCAAAAAUUCUUAAGGAGGCAGAAGAAGAAGAGAACCAUCGUAAGAAGAUAAAGACUUCUUACUCGCAUUUGAUAGACCGGUAAAUGUGACGAACGAAGAAAAGUGCAGCGCGGAAGCCGACAGUCCCGAGCAUUAAGAAGAACCCGUAGCAAAUGCAAGCCAUGUACCCGAAGAAGAACGAUGUUUGCAUGAAUCCAGACAUGUCUGAUCGUGCGUAGUAGUAGUAUAAGCAGUAGGCGUAGAUAAACAAACCGGUCGACCCACCGCAUAGGAAUGAUCUGCAAAUAAAAACAGUCUCAGGUUCUAUUGUUCAGAGAGAGAAGAAGGUAAAGACAAUGGGAAAUGGCUUAACGAACCUCCACCACCAUUGGUGAUCUUCAGCAGCGAGCUGGAAGUAAGUCAAGGCGACGGUUAUAAAAGCAGUGACAAUGAUGAGGAUGAUGAAGACAAUGAACAGGAUGCUGUAGAUGGUGUAGAUCCGGUGACCCCAGACACUAGCGAAAAUGUAGUAAAGCUCGAUGUAGAUGGCACUGAAAGGAAGAAAACCAGCCAUGGCCAUCUGAGGAACCGCGCUUCUGUACCAAGGGAGCGGCGGAAUCUCGCGGGGGUACUUGGUCGUGCGGCAGGGCGCUUGGAACUCAGCUUUGCAUGAUCAUCUUUUACAAUCCAUAAAAUAUAUAGAAAAGGAUACACGUAAGUAAUUUUAAUUUCCGUAGCCCAAAAUAACGAGAAGAAGAGAGAGACAGAGAAGAGAUGCUUUUUCAGGAAAUAAUCAGGCAUUAACAUUGUCAUUUUAUCUCUCUUCUUUCUAACAACCCAUCUCUUUAUCUUUUCUUUGUUCUAGCAAAAAUUCUUAAGGAGGCAGAAGAAGAAGAGAACCAUCGUAAGAAGAUAAAGACUUCUUACUCGCAUUUGAUAGACCGGUAAAUGUGACGAACGAAGAAAAGUGCAGCGCGGAAGCCGACAGUCCCGAGCAUUAAGAAGAACCCGUAGCAAAUGCAAGCCAUGUACCCGAAGAAGAACGAUGUUUGCAUGAAUCCAGACAUGUCUGAUCGUGCGUAGUAGUAGUAUAAGCAGUAGGCGUAGAUAAACAAACCGGUCGACCCACCGCAUAGGAAUGAUCUGCAAAUAAAAACAGUCUCAGGUUCUAUUGUUCAGAGAGAGAAGAAGGUAAAGACAAUGGGAAAUGGCUUAACGAACCUCCACCACCAUUGGUGAUCUUCAGCAGCGAGCUGGAAGUAAGUCAAGGCGACGGUUAUAAAAGCAGUGACAAUGAUGAGGAUGAUGAAGACAAUGAACAGGAUGCUGUAGAUGGUGUAGAUCCGGUGACCCCAGACACUAGCGAAAAUGUAGUAAAGCUCGAUGUAGAUGGCACUGAAAGGAAGAAAACCAGCCAUGGCCAUCUGAGGAACCGCGCUUCUGUACCAAGGGAGCGGCGGAAUCUCGCGGGGGUACUUGGUCGUGCGGCAGGGCGCUUGGAACUCAGCUUUGCUGUUUUUACCGGCGAUGCCACCUAAGACGAGUAGAGGCGAUGUGACUAGAGUCCAUAUAAGGACGAUCACGACAAUGGUUCCAAAGGGUAGUGCUGCGGUUGCAGUGUAGGUGAUGGCUACGGUGUUGAGGAAGCAGAAGGUUAGGAGUAAAGGACCGUGGGUGCUGUUUUUUAUGCUAAGGUAAAAGACUUCUUUUAUCUUCUAAAAAGUUGUCGUCAGCAUCAUCGUUCUCUGGUCUGGUGGUGUUAUUUUUAGUUAGAACAACAUGUAUACUGUGUCUUUCAGGCCGAAAUGGGGUGUACUGAGACCGAGUUGGGGGAUGAUGGUAGCGCUUGGAUAACAAAGUCUCAUAAUUUUCUGUUUCAAGUAAAGCGUUGUCCUUGGUAUCUUGUAAGUUACAUUCUCAAAUACCUUCAUUUUUUUUUUUGCUAUGUCUUGCCUGCCCCUCAUGACUUGAAGCCUACCUCUUUCUCUCGCUCGCUCAAUCAACUAUUUAGGAAGACAGUACUGGUGUGGUGAAAGUAGUGGGAGCUGAAGCUGCUGAUGACUUUCUUGAUACUCUGACACCGCAUUUGGAUAUGUCACUAAGUGAAAUCUUUGGUAGUAUUGUAGAACCUAAACAAGGCUCUCAGGUUACCUUUUCUCUUUCAUUUUUUUUUUGUCUUUCUCUGUUUAUUUUAGUCUUUUUCAUUGGGUUGGAACCAACAGUGUGAUUGUUUUCAUCUCUAGACGAUUUUUCGGGCUUCUCUCGAUACUGGUACCUCCUUAACUAUUAUUGGCGAGGUAAAGGAAGCCCCCAUGUGUUUAUUCUUUAUAUUGUGGAUCAUGUAAGAGUGGCUGUGCAAGCUAAUAUAAGUUGAUGUGUCUGUGUCCUUGUCUGUACUGUAGGCUGCUAGAGACGAAGCUGGUAAUCUCACGAUUCAAAACACCAAUGAACAGCCUUUUAGGAUCUUCAGUGGAGAGGGCUCGUUUGAUAAAAUGGUUGCCAACUUGAAGUCAAAUUCAGAGUAAGGACAGAGACUCAUCAUGUUUUUGUUUAUACAUGGUGAUGAUAAUCAAAUUUUCUUGUGUUAUUUUUUAUGCAGGUUUUAUUUUUUCUAUUCCAAGAUCUUUGGAACUAUUGCUUUUGCUAUAGUUGUUUUUAAAGGCGUGAGUUUCAUACGAAGGGUUUUACGUGAGAGAGCAGAUAAUGCUGAUUCAGACGACGAAGAAACGCCAUGAGGGAGUAGAAUCAGACAACAGUAGUUUAUAGGAUCAGCUUUAAAGGCUCAGGCAGAAGAAUCAGACACCAAUGAUUUAUAACUAGGAUAGAUUUUUUAUCUAUGGUAUUGGGUAGGCAAAAUGUUUAUGAAUAUUUUAACAAACCAUCGUUUCUUAUUCUGACAGAUGAACAAAUUUAAAAAAAAAUUAUAUUGUCCAAAUUAACUAUGUGAUUCUAUUACAUAGUUGAACACACGUUGAUUUAUUCUAUUUAUAGCUUUACAAAACUUGUUAAAAGGAUAUAAUUUAAUUUAAAUAAGAACAUUAUUUCAAUGUAAUAAAAGCAGACAUUUUCCCUUUGUUUGGAUCAAAUUAAUGUAAACAGCCAUUAAAUUAGUCAAUGAACAUAAAUUCACCAACUCGGACAUAUAAUGUACGAAAUAAAAACAUUUAAUUAAAAAGAAUAUCUGUUACAACUUACAAGUCAGUAAAAUGUUUAUAAAAAUAACAAAAGAAAGAGAAAAAAAAAAUACAAAAGUAAAAAAAAUUCAAACUUCCCUUGCAGAUUUUCUUCCUCAGACAUACAAACAAACAAACAGAACAUAAAAAGCAACCGUAUGAUAAAACAACUCUUAAACUCAGAUGGGGUUACCUGAAACUAAUCAUCUGAUGGUGACGAACUUGUUAGUCCCAUGUCUAGCCCAAUGGCUCUUAAGAUCAAUGGGGCUCCCAAAGUUAAACCCAUCAGAAGAAAGUUUCUCAAGAACCUUCUUAAACGCUCCUUGACUCAUCUUCCUCCCGGAGAUCCUCGCUCCACGGCGUUUAGUACUCAUCGGCAACGGGUGCAUCGAUAUGUUCGUGGUGCAACACGCAGACUGCCAACCGCCGCAUCCCCAACGGUAGCAUUGCUGAGGAGCUCCGGUGCAAGUGCAGACCGGUACAGGUAAACCGGAAAUGUCCAUGUUCACUCCGUUGAUAAUCAAGUCAACGCUUUUCUUAGCCGGUUUGACUCUUGAAACGUUAGUCUUGCUGUCGUUCUCUUCUUUCGGUUUACGAGGCUUCUUCCCCUUUGCUGUUGCGCUAGCUUUUGAGUUAGUCUUUCUCUUCUUGUUAGGCUGAACAAUCUCUUCUUCUUCUUCGCAUUUAACCGGGUUAUCCUCGGUUUGAUGAUGGUGAUGGUGAUGCAUGGACGGGGCUGAUGAAGUUUCGGGGAGAACGUUUCCGUAGUUAGGAGAGGUUGUUACAGGCAACAUGUUGAAGAACUUGUCCUUCUGUUGGUUAAUCCAGUUGUAGCUCAUGUGGAUUGGUGGCUCAGGGUGGUGGUAUGACCCGUUUUGGCCAAUCAUUAGAUUUGGAUCUCGACCGGGUAGAAACGGUUUAGUGUUCCGGUCAGCGCUUGACAUUAGCUGCAAACCGAG
rnacentral:lncRNA from 1 species